UAAAGAUUCAUCGCUGAUAGAUAGGCAUGCGUUCCAUUAGGCAGUUGGCGGGGUAACGGCCCACCAAACCGACGAUGGAUAGGGGUUCUGAGAGGAAGGUCCCCCACAUUGGUACUGAGACACGGACCAAACUCCUACGGGAGGCAGCAGUGAGGAAUAUUGGUCAAUGGGCGUAAGCCUGAACCAGCCAAGUCGCGUGAGGGAUGAAGGUUCUAUGGAUCGUAAACCUCUUUUAUAAGGGAAUAAAGUGUGGGACGUGUCCUAUUUUGUAUGUACCUUAUGAAUAAGGAUCGGCUAACUCCGUGCCAGCAGCCGCGGUAAUACGGAGGAUCCGAGCGUUAUCCGGAUUUAUUGGGUUUAAAGGGUGCGUAGGCGGCCUUUUAAGUCAGCGGUGAAAGUCUGUGGCUCAACCAUAGAAUUGCCGUUGAAACUGGGGGGCUUGAGUAUGUUUGAGGCAGGCGGAAUGCGUGGUGUAGCGGUGAAAUGCUUAGAUAUCACGCAGAACCCCGAUUGCGAAGGCAGCCUGCCAAGCCAUGACUGACGCUGAUGCACGAAAGCGUGGGGAUCAAACAGGAUUAGAUACCCUGGUAGUCCACGCAGUA
rnacentral:rRNA from 1 species